ensembl:lncRNA
GUGUUGGUGUUACCAGGGAGAAAUCCCUGUUGGAGGUGAAUGAGGGGUUGACAGGUUGUAUCAAAUCCAGUAGCCUGUAGACACCAAAUGUAGAACCAUAACAACAGAAUUGCUUUACAAACGUCACAAUAAAGUUGUAUUCUAUUCAGUACUCCAGGCUACAGAAAGAUGGAUGAUAUAAACCCUCAGAACCCAAAAAUGUAAGCUUGUUUUACUUCAGUGUUUGUAAAUAAUGUAAAUGUAAACAAACAUUAUGUAGCCUCAAAACAAUCAUUUUAAUAUCAUGGAUGGUCAGACCUUGUAUCCAUAGCUCUGUCUAUGAAUUUGAGAGAGGUUACAUUUCUCCAGCCCCAUCACUCAGCUUUUUACUGAAACAGGUGUGGAGAGCAGUUUGUUGUUUCUACUGCUUAUAGACUAAAACAUAUCUGAAAUCAAUCAAUUACUACGAUAUGGGAUAAAUUACUUUCUUAUGCAACUAGAGAAGUUAUUUGCAUAUAAGUGUCUCAGUCACCAUAAUGACAAACACUCAUUACACUCAUAUUCUCAUUUGUGUUUGAACUUCUGUUUAUAUAAAAAUGCUUUGAUUUGACAACCAUCAGAAGAGAACCUACUUACCAUUUGAGAACUUACAGUUUGACUGGAAAGGACAGAAAAGGACUCAAGCAUUCUGUCCCCUCCUGCAUUUGCUGGGUUGCAGUGAAUAACUGUAAAGACUGUCACCUAGUGUCAGCUAAGAGGGAGACUUCUUGGAGGCAUUCUCCAUUGAUAGAAAGUCUCGUUGAUGGACCUGGUGCUGUUUAGUCCAGCAGAUGGCAGAACGGUACUUUAUAGUUGUAUGACUUGUUAGAUAGUGAGUGAAAGGGAGAGACAAGACAGUUCUGGUUCCCUACCUUUCUACCCAAGUGUACACUUUAGGGAGAAGGGUAGAGAAUCUCACAGCAGCUUGUGUGUGACGGAGUGAAAGACUGUGCUGUAUCAUAAGAAGAUUUAUUGUGGGUAGAUAAGCAGCAGGAAAGUAUGGGGUGUUGCUGUGUGUGCCUUUGUGAAAUAAUUUAUAAUAAUAUUAAUGUGGAGAUCACAUUUCGAUACACGGACUCAAACAGGAACUGAGUCAGAGUUCUCUCAGCUAACUGACUCAUUUCCUGUUUAUGUCGCCAUGGCAAUCAAUGUCAGUCUUCCGGAAAGGUCACUCAACAUGAGGGGGAAACAGCCUGAUUAAAGACAAUCAGCCAUGGAAAUACAUUGGACAUAAGUAGAAUGGACAUGGGUUUCAAUCCGACAUGCAAUGCAAUAGCUAUGUUUCCAUUAACUUGAUCAGUGAUUUUUUUUCUGUCGACAUUUAGAAUGUUUGCAUAGAAAAUAGAUGUGACAAUUGUCUGCUAGGCUCCGUUUCCAUUCUUGUGUUGAUAAAAACACAUGGACAAUGACGUCAAAACACAAAUGUUCAUAUAAAACUACAAUGUCAAAUCAAAGGUAGUGGUUGAAGUGUUUCUAUUACCCAUUUAGACAAAUUAAGCAUCAACAAAUGCCCAGUGGCAACCCGUCAUUCAGGGCAGGUGGAGCCCAACCUGUUUUGAGACCCACAUUUUUAGCAUGUUAUUUUUGCAUUAAUACGUGUCACAUAUCAGUAUGCAAACAAUGUGAAACAAAUAUAUAGAUAUCAUUGAGUUAAUAAAGCUGCAUACAAACAU